rnacentral:misc_RNA from 1 species
UGUGGGAGCGGGCUUGCUCGCGAUGCUAACGGCGCGGUUUUCAUGCAAGACCGGGUUGAUACCAUCGCGAGCGAGCCCGCUCCCACA